GUACACACGAGUCAGGUGUGUGGCUGCGGCUCAAUUAAUGUUCAACUCCAUUAAGUUUAAUCAGUCGGGUGUUAAUCGAUCUCUGACCUUCAUGCUGAACGUGAUCGGCUCCAUGACGAACACUCGAUCGGGGAAAGUUCCGGCGAUUUCCUCCACGCUCGCAAAGUACUGAACUGGUUCCCGGACAUCCCGGUCCUGAUCCAGCAACUUAAACUUCCCUAAAGAGAGAUAAGGAGAAAGAGAUGGAGUGAGUUCUACUGAGUGAUAGAGAGAUAAGGAGAAAGAGAUGGACGGGAUGUCGAUCUUGGGUCCGAUGACGUAAUGCCCUUCCUCGAGCGAGUGCGCGGUGACUGUGGUCCACUGGCGGCAUGAGUGUAACAGGACCACGUCCUCCUCGGACAACCCUUCCACAUUUUCACCUGCAGGGAAACAGAGACGUGAAGAACAACUCUGCAGAAUAUGGAAGAAUUCCACAUCAGGUCAAACUGUAUCCCUGUAGUCACCAUCCUUCUACCCCAAUACACCCCAACAGACACUAAUUCUAUCCUCACCUCAUUUCUCAUGUUCUGUAUUAUUAUUUACAUCAUACCCACAUGUGCCCAAACAAGUGGCCACCCCAUUCCCAUGUGUUACAUUACGAUUCCCACCCCAUUCCCAACAUCAGCCAACCUAAGCUUAUUCAAGUGGGUCCAAACACCACCACCCUGUCAGGGUGAACUGUAUUGCCAUCUCCACCUUAUCUCCAUAUACCCAGUAUUCCCACUCCAUCUUCGUAUAAACCCACAUAUAUAAUAAUCCCCUGCCAUGAUGUGCCCUAAAAACCGCCCCAAAACUAUCUCUUCCUUAUUCCAACAUCCAUCCCCAUCGACAUUUGCCUUUCUACCAUACCUCACCAUAUCCCAAUAUACCACAACUCCAUUCCCAUAUUAUUUAUAACAUCCCGUAUUACUGUCUCCAUUUUAUAUCUCCACCCUUAUACCCCCAAACCAUACUCCUACCUGUCCCCACAACCGUUACCCUGUGGAUACUGUGUGUGCCUGAAAACCCUUAACCUAUCCUCAGAACAUCCCAUCCCAUCACUUCAACCCCAAACUUUUCCCUUUUGACCUUAUUCAAUACCAUCCCCACCCCAUCCACAAGUGCCCCAACCCCUUAUCUACUUCAACACCAAUCCCAACCCCGAUCCCAACUCUUCCCAACAUCUCCGUUCCCAUCCCCAUGUUCCCCAACAUUCCCAUUCUGCCCAUAACAGUGGAUCCCAACCUCAAUCCUACCUCCGGUGGUCCCAGCUCUGUCAGCAACACCGUUCACCAUGUGCCUCCAUCACCAGCUGGUGUGUGUUAAACCACUGGUUCAUCAGCAUGCAUGGUCAAAACCUUUAGAAUGAUAUAUUUUCUUUUUAAUAUCCCGUCACUACCCCAGACUGCCCAAGUCCCCUGUUAAACUGUGCAAGGUUUAAAUGUUGAUUUCCCCCAUUCUUGUGCAUCUCUUCAACUCAGACUAGAUUUCUCUGGCAGUAAGCUGAACUAAACACGCACACACACACACACACACACACACACACACACACACACACACACACACACAAACACACAGGAAACCACAUCAACAGUCAUCACUACGGAAACUAACACUGCUGGCAGGGAUCAUUUGGGAACGUGAGCCAAAAGUGUAAUCACUCUCUCUCUCUCUCUCUCUCUCUCUCUCUCUCUCUCUCUCUCUCUCUCUCUCUGUGUCUCUUUCUCUCUCUUUCUCUCUCUCUCUCUCUCUCACACACACACACACACACACACUGCAAUACACCUCUACAUAAAUGACACACUUCAAUUUUUUCAACUAGCUGCACUAGAGGGCAAUAUUAUUAUACGGCAUAAGCCAAUCACUGAAGAGAGACACAGAUCACAUUAAAAAUAUCUUGUCUUGAGAUAGAGUAAUGAAUGAAAGAGAGAGAGAGAGAGAGCGCAAGAGAGAGAGACAGGGGGGUUGUGAUGAAAGAAGAGUGUAUUGAUCAGCUGCUAAAAGAAUCCUUCAUUGAUGCGAGUCUGAAAAAAGGCUUUUACUGAGGAAAUGAGACACACACACACAGACACACACAGUGAGAGAGAGAGAGAGAGAGAGUCAUAGGUUCUGCUGAACAUCUCAGUUGUCUAUAAUUACUAUUGUCGGCUGAUACGGUGAUAUAUCCCACCUACACACGCACACACACACACACACACAAGCUUACAUAAACAUUAACCCCUAUGGCAACCCAUAAUAAAGCUUUGUGUGUGUGUAAACUGGAUGAUCACGAAGCGCAAAUGAACUGUGAAGAAUUCUGGGGUCAGAAACAAAGAAAAGAAACAAAGAGAGAGAGAGAGAGAGAGAGAGAGAGAUGAUGUUGGACAAGGUCAAGAGUUAAACCACAGGUCAAGCACAACUACAGGGUCAACAUAGGGGCAGAGUGUGUGUGUGUGUGUGUGUGUGUGUGUGUGUGUGUGUGUGUGUGUGUGUGUGUGUGUGUGUGUGAGAGAGACAGAAUGACUAAGACGUUUAUAGAAAGUGAGUGAGGAAGUGAAUGAAAGCAGGUUAAAGGAGAGUUAGAAUGAAUUGUGAGUGAAGUAGAAGGUGUUUUAUUCCUAAAGCACAUUAAUGACUGCACAUGUGAUGGAGUGACUGAUGGAGUGAGUGAUGGAGUGAGUGACGGAGUGACUUAUGGAGUGACUAAGAAAGUAUGCGAACACAUCACUGAUAUAAUCUUAUCACUAAUUACAGAACAGCGGUAAUGAUCCAAGACCGUCAUUCGGUACAGUUCGAGUUUAACCAAUCGGUGACGUUUCAGUGUUUGUCCUAAAGAUAAAAUAUGUGCUAAAAAAUGUAAAAUAAAUGUAAAUAAUUCUUUUAGGUUUGUGUUUAAUGCUCAGUAGCACUGACUGCACUCAUAGUCCUACUUUAAACUUGACUUAUUACAUGUCAUUAAUGACUUAUUACAGUGUUAUAAUCUGUAUUAUUACACUAUUAUGUACGUGAGACUCAGUUAGGGGGCGUGGCUUAGAAUUUCGGAGGUGGACUCGUCAUGUUCAUUUGGCUCUAGUUACAGAUGGUAUUAGUGAGACGAAGUUUUGAGGCGAGUGUGACAUGGUUUAGACCAGCGCUUGUUUGUCGGCUGGUGUGAUGCGCAAACUACGAAUAAAUAUAACAAAUAUCAAAAAUACUAAAAGGAGGAGUUGUUUUGUAACUUCUGGGAUCAUUUUAGAUACUUUUUUGUGUUCAGUGGUUGAAAAUGUUGCUAAUAUCUGGCAACCCUGUGAAGUAUCUAGAAUAUCUAGAACAUGACACUCGGUACUAGGAAAAGUUUAUUAUUUUGAAAAGAGCUCAGUUACUGUGACGCUAAUGCGAAUGUAGUUACACUGGAAACAUUCAAAACUGCGAUGAUGUCAUGAUUUUAAAGUCUUCAAGAAACUUUAAGAAUCCCAAAUUUAUGCUAUGAUGCCAAAUCUGUGGUUAUAACCCUCUAUCAGCUAGCCGCAUAACGCCUCGAGACUCCCGAGGCAAAAUACAGACUUGGCUGAUUUUCCCUGAUGGUAAAACCGGUGAAGAUCCGAUUUUCCCGUAAAUUCCUCCUUUCACUCGUCUCUCCUUUUCACUCACGUCGCUGAAAAUUGGAGCGCAUCGGGGAGCUCGUCCUCGUUAGUAUGCACGGCACUCGGACACGGAUCAGCACAUUUCCAUAUGAAAGGCUCUGCAUCACUUCUGGGACACAACAGCCACUUUGUCACCUUCGCCAAAAGCCAGAUCAACUAUUUACACCAUAAGCUUCGUUGGAAACUCAUUCCACCUCACCGUUAAUGUCGCACUCUGCACAUCGGGAACACAGAGACUUGUUACAUCCCUGUGGGAAAACUGUGUGGUCUGGUCUGAUUGUCCCUGUGUUCUGUCUUCAUCUGAUACAUUAAAAUCCUUUGUCCCCUCUGCA